AGCUUUGUGCAGUGGUAGUAUCAUAGUCAAUGAGGUUUAUCCAAGGCACAAUUAUUGCUAAUUAAAG
rnacentral:snRNA from 1 species